UGAUACAUAAUCAUGUUCAUGAUUUGUGCUGUCUUGCUUUGCAGAUUACAGAAUAUUGCUGAAGGAUCCUACAUAAGGCUGGCUGAUUACACGGAGUGAUUCCUCUGGUGUGGUGUACCUCAGAGAAAUAAACACUGUUGCAAGAGCUGAGAAGAUGGCCAAGAUAUCCUUAUUGCUGGAUGGUAGCUCUGGUCGUAGUGGACCAUAUCUGCAAAUGCUUCUGAACAUUGACAGAAUUUCUAAAGAUGACUGAGAAUAUUACUGAAGGAUCCUACAUGGAAGCUGUCUGAUUACACUGAGUGAUUCCUCUGGUGUGGUGUACCUCCGAGAAAAUAAACACUGUUGUAAGA